rnacentral:lncRNA from 10 species
CUCUCCCGGUUACCAGGGAGCAAGGGGUGGUCCUUUGUCGAGGAGGUGGGCCUUGGGGUUGACGGAAGCUUCGCGUGGGAGGAGGCGGCGGCGGCGGCAGCGGCUGCUGGGCUCCAGGGGAGGGAUUUCCUGCUUAAGUGUCGCUGUGACGGCCUGGGCUCCGGGAGGAGGCGCAGGGAUCCUCGGAAAGGCCUGUGGUGCGGUUUGGUGGAUUUGGGGCGCACCACCUCCGCCCUAACCCCAACCCCAACGUGUCCCCAGGCCGGAUC